rnacentral:rRNA from 1 species
CUACGGGAUGCAGCAGUGAGGAAUAUUGCACAAUGGGGGGAACCCUGAUGCAGCAACGCCGCGUGGAGGAUGACGCAUUUCGGUGUGUAAACUCCUUUUAUAUGUCAAGAAAAUGACGGUAGCAUAUGAAUAAGCACCGGCUAACUCCGUGCCAGCAGCCGCGGUAAUACGGAGGGUGCAAGCGUUACUCGGAAUCACUGGGCGUAAAGGACGCGUAGGGGGGUUGGAAAGUCAGGUGUGAAAUCCUACAGCUUAACUGUAGAACUGCACUUGAAACUUCUAAUCUAGAGUAUGGGAGGGGGAGAUGGAAUUAGUGGUGUAGGGGUAAAAUCCGUAGAUAUCACUAGGAAUACCUAAAGCGAAGGCGAUCUCCUGGAACAUUACUGACGCUAAGGCGUGAAAGCGUGGGGAGCAAACAGGAUUAGAUACCAGGUAGUC